GACAGAGGGGGCAAGCGUUGCUCGGAAUUACUGGGCGUAAAGGGCGCGUAGGCGGGAUGGCAAGUCGGUCGUGAAAUCCCUCGGCUCAACCGAGGAACGUCGAUCGAUACUGCUGUUCUUGAGGAGUUGCAGAGGAGACUGGAAUUCCCGGUGUAGCGGUGAAAUGUGUAGAGAUCGGGAGGAACGACCGGUGGCGAAGGCGGGUCUCUGGGCAAUU
rnacentral:rRNA from 1 species